CACAGCAGCCAUUGUGAACCCGAGGUUGGCAGGUACUUUCCAGUCCAAACCGGUUCGUGUUUUCAGUUCCCUCUCCCCGGGCACGCUUCUUUCAGGUUUAGAUCACGCGACGCUGCCGCGCUGCACACUCACUACGUGCUAAAUUACAGAUUGAAUAAACAUACGAUGUGAAAAAUGUGAAAUGUUGAUUAAUAAAUGAUAAUAAGUUAUGUGUAUGAGAAUUUGUGCUGCGAAUUGAAUGAAUUACACAAACAUGGAGGGAUGUUAUUUGAAAAGUCUGUCUGCACGUCGCGAAGAACACUAUUGUCGCGCAGACUUGGGUCUAAUUGUGUUCCAACAAUGAGUGGAGUUGAAGGAGAACGAAUGCUGCAGACUUGUGUUGUGGAGUCAGGAGCAAGUACGAGGACGCCCUAGUGCGGUAAGAGUUAAAGUCACGUGACCACCGUAAUUUGUUAUACUUAUAAAUAUUCAGGCAGCCUUUUUACCCGACUGCCGAAGGAGUAGAGGAAUAUUUUUCGAUUGUAUGUAUGUAUUUAU